rnacentral:SRP_RNA from 1 species
GCUGGAUGUGGUGGCGGGCACCUGUAAUCCCAGCUACUUGGGAGGCUGAGGCAGGAGAAUCGCUUGAACCCAGGAGGUGGAGGUUGCAGUGAGUUGAGAUUGUGCCAUUGCACUCCAGCCUGGGUGACAGAGCGAGACUCUGUCUCAA